rnacentral:tRNA from 1 species
GGGUAGGUAUACAAGCGGUUAAAGUCGGCAGAUUGUAAAUCUGCUCCCUUCGGGGUUCAGAGGUUCGAAUCCUCUCUUACCCA